GAAACAGUUGCUAAGACUGGAUAGGAAAUUAGAAGGCAUCUUUUAAUUUUUAAAAGACCUUUUUCGAAAGGUAUACUUAAAGAGGGGCUUGCGGCACAUUAGUUAGUUGGUAGGGUAAAAGCCUACCAAGACCAUGAUGUGUAGCUGGACUGAGAGGUUGAACAGCCACAUUGGGACUGAGACACGGCCCAAACUCCUACGGGAGGCAGCAGUAGGGAAUUUUCGGCAAUGGAGGAAACUCUGACCGAGCAACGCCGCGUGAACGAUGAAGUAUUUCGGUAUGUAAAGUUCUUUUAUUGGAGAAGAAAAAAUAGUGGAAAAACUAUCUUGACGAUAUUCAAUGAAUAAGCCCCGGCAAACUAUGUGCCAGCAGCCGCGGUAAUACAUAGGGGGCGAGCGUUAUCCGGAAUUAUUGGGCGUAAAGGGUGCGUAGGCGGUUUGGUAAGUCUAUAGUUUAAUUUCAGUGCUUAACACUGUUCUGCUAUAGAAACUAUCAGACUAGAGUGAGAUAGAGGCAAGUGGAAUUCCAUGUGUAGCGGUAAAAUGCGUAAAUAUAUGGAGGAACACCAGAGGCGUAGGCGGCUUGCUGGGUCUUUACUGACGCUGAGGCACGAAAGCGUGGGGAGCAAACAGGAUUAGAUACCCUGGUAGUCCACGCCGUAAACGAUGAGUACUAAGUGUCGGGGAAACUCGGUACUGAAGUUAACACAUUAAGUACUCCGCCUGAGUAGUACGUACGCAAGUAUGAAACUUAAAGGAAUUGACGGGACUCCGCACAAGCGGUGGAUCAUGUUGUUUAAUUCGAAGAUACACGAAAAACCUUACCAGGUCUUGACAUACUCUGCAAAGCUAUAGCAAUAUAGUGGAGGUUAUCAGGGAUACAGGUGGUGCAUGGUUGUCGUCAGCUCGUGUCGUGAGAUGUUAGGUUAAGUCCUAAAACGAGCGCAACCCUUGUCACUAGUUGCCAGCAUGUUAUGAUGGGCACUUUAGUGAGACUGCCAAUGAAAAAUUGGAGGAAGGUGAGGAUCACGUCAAAUCAUCAUGCCCCUUAUGAUCUGGGCUACAAACGUGAUACAAUGGCUGUUACAAAGAGUAGCUAAAACGCGAGUUUAUAGCCAAUCUCAUAAAAGCAGUCUCAGUUCGGAUUGAAGUCUGCAACUCGACUUCAUGAAGUUGGAAUCGCUAGUAAUCGCGAAUCAGCAUGUCGCGGUGAAUACGUUCUCGGGGUUUGUACACACCGCCCGUCA
rnacentral:rRNA from 2 species